rnacentral:lncRNA from 10 species
GUUUAAUUCCGUUCCCCUAGUGAGAAGCUGCAGGACUUGUAGCAUGUCCGGUAACCCCUUCUGCAGCCACCUUCCCACACCAGGGUAGGCUGUGAUCAGGAGCCAGUCAUCAGCCCUAAUCCUACAGACACACGGUUGCUCACUUGGACAACAUUUCAGCAAGAUUGUGAAGCUACACGGAGGAACCCACGUGGUGUGGAUGUGAUCAAGUGUUCUCACCGAAAUACCUGGGCAAGGAAUUGGUGCUAAAAGACCCUAGGCCAGCUUCCAGUCCACGCUGUCGAACAGGAAUAUGUGAGCCGCACACGAAAUGAUGGAGUCUUGCUCUGUCUCCAGCCUGAAGUGCAGUAGCAGGAUCUCGGCUCACUGCAACCUCUGCCUCCCAGGUUCAAGCGAUUCUCCUGCCUCAGCCUCCCACAUAGCUGGGACUACAGGCGCACACCACCACGCCCGGCUAAUUUUUUGUAUUUUAGUAGAGACGGGGUUUCACCAUGUUGGCCAGGAUGGUCUCGAUCUCCUGACCUCGUGAUCUGCCUGCCUCAGCCUCCCAAAGUGCUGGGAUUACAGGCGUGAGCCACCACGCCCGGCCCAAGUUCAGAAUGUUAGAUAAACUCAAGAGCUUGAGUGCCCAAAAGCAAAGUAUCCAUGUAGUCUUGUAACGGACUGUGUGAGACCAACCGAAGGCUGCGUGACGGUUAAUUUCAUGUGUUGACUGGUCUAGGGUAAUGGAUGCCCAGGUAGCUAGUGAAAUCUUGUUUCUGGGUGUGUCUGCGAGGACAUUUCUCUUCUGCAAAGAGGUUGGCAUUUGAAUUGGUGGACUGAGUAAAGAAGAUCCCGCUCGCUAACAGAGGUGGGCAUCAUCCCAUCUGCUGGGAGCCUGAAUGGAACAAAAGGCAGAGGAAGGGUGAAUUCUCUCUUUCCUGGAGCUGGAACAUCCAUCUUCUCCUUCUCUUGGAUAUUGGAGCUCAUCAUUCCUGGGCUUUCGGACUUACACCAGUGGCCCUCUGGUUCUCACGCCUUUGGCCUCAAACUGGGAAUUACACCACGGGCUUUCCUGGUCUCCAGUUUACAGACAGCAGAUUAUCAAACUUUUUUUUUUUUUUUUUUUUGAGACGGAGUUUUGCUCUUGUCGCCCAGGCUGGCAUGCAAUGGUGUGAUGGCUCACUGCGACCUCCACCUCCCGGGUUCAAGCGAUUCUCCUGCCUCAGCCUCCUGAGUAGCUGGGAUUACAGGUGCCUGCCACCACGCCCACCUAAUUUUUGUAUUUUUAGUAGAGACAGGGUUUCACCAUGUUGGUCAGGCUGGUCUCGAACUCCUGACCCCAGAUGAUCCACCCCCCCGCCGGCCUCUCAAAGUGCUGGGAUUACAGACGUAAGCCACCGCGCCUGGCCUGUUUAACUUUUUGACCUCCAUAAUCAUGUAAGUAAUUUCCCAUGAUAGGUCUCCUCUUAUAUACCUGUAUAUCUCCUACAGGCUCUGUUUCUCUGGAGAACCCUGACUAAUACAGGCUGAUACAGUAAGAAAUUCAAUGAAAUAACAAAGAAGGAAGAUAAUGAAUUUUGAAGACAACCAUUCUGGGAGGAAUAUGAAUAUAAAGAGAAACAAAGACAGAAAUGAAAGAAAAUAUUUUAAUUGCACCAAUGUUUAUUAUUUGAUCUCUUGCUAUUAGGUUUCUGUCUCCUGGAGUCCUGAGGAGCUGGUGGUGGGGAAGCAGCUGGUGAUCUUUCUCCAGGUGUUCCAUUCGAAAUAGUAUAGCAGUUUCUUCACUGACGAAGUUUAGGAGAGUCCUAAAAUGUGCCGGUCAUUUCCAUCUUCAGCUUUUCUCUUUGCUCUGUGUACUCUUGUGGGAGAUGACCUUUCUCUUCAUAUAAGCACAUCUCUCUCCUUUUUCUUUUUAAAGGGACAGGGUCUUGCUCUGUCGCCCAGGCUAGAUAGAAUGCAGUGGCAUGAUCACAGCAGCCUCUAACUCCUGGGCUCAAGCAUCCACCUGCCUCAGCCUCCCAAAGUGCCGGGAUUAUAGGCGUGAGCCGCUGUGUCCAGCCUCUCCUUUUGUGUAUGCUCAAGAAAAGUCUAAAUAGAAGACCAGGAUCCAAGUCAGGACGUUCCCUUUCCACCCACUCAGUGGCCUGAGGCAGCAGCCCAGAAAUCUUCCUGCAUUCUUCCAUCUCCCUCACACCCAUCCAUACUUAUCCAUACUGAUCCAUCCACAAGUCCUCUCAGUUCCGCCUCUGAAACGUCUUUCAAAUUCUUUCACCUCUCUCUCAAUCCCUGUUUCUGCCUAGGGCCACCAUCGUCGCUCACACAGAUCACACCUGCCUCUCUGCCCAUGCCGGCCCUCCACUCCUCCCUAAUUCAGCAGCUGCACAGCCAGAGAUUUGUCCCAGAUGCAAAUCUGAUCAUGCUAGUUCACGCUAAGCUGUGCAGUGGCUCUGGACUGCUCUGAGAAUAGAGCCCAAACUUCUAGAACCUUGGCCGCAAGGCCCCUCGCCUGCCCUCUGUCUCACUUUCCCUAGCACUUAGGUGCCUGCCUGCCUGGACUUCUCUGGGAUGCUUUCAUCUCACCCUGCUCUCCUCCUUCCCUCAUUUCCUCCAUUCUCUUCUCUUCUUUCUACCCUAUUCACUGGGCAAACUCCUAAAGCAGGUUGCUGUUUAGAUACUGUUUACUCCAGAAAGCCUUCCUGAACCCAGCUGUUUCUUCUAGACCCCACCUUUUCCUUCCUUCAAACAUCAAAGUCAAGAAACCCUUGUCGGCCGGGCGCGGUGGCUCCCAGCACUCUGUGAGGCCGAGGCGGGCAAAU